rnacentral:rRNA from 1 species
UCUACGGGGGUCUGCAGUGGGGAAUAUUGGGCAAUGGAGGCAACUCUGACCCAGCAACGCCGCGUGAAUGAUGAAGGUCUUCGGAUUGUAAAGUUCUUUUCUAAGGGAAGAAGAAAGUGACGGUACCUUAGGAAUAAGCCUCGGCUAACUACGUGACAGCAGCCGCGGUAAUACGUAGGAGGCAAGCGUUAUCCGGAAUGACUGGGCGGAAAGGGCGCGUAGGGGAUUUGACAAGUUAGUAGCGCAACAGCGGGGCUCAACUUCGGAACUACUACUAAAACUGUUGGAAGGGAGGGCAGGAGGGGAAAUCGGAAAUCCUAGUGUAGCGGGUGAAUGCGUAGAUAGUAGGAGGAACGACAGGGGCGAAGGCGGAUUGAGAGACUGUAACGGACACUGAGGCGCGAAAGCGUGGGGAGCAAACAGGAUUAGAUACCCUAGUAGAC